GUGAGGAAUAUUGGUCAAUGGGCGGGAGCCUGAACCAGCCAAGUCGCGUGAAGGAAGAAGGAUCUAUGGUUCGUAAACUUCUUUUGCAGGGGAAUAAAGUGCAGGACGUGUCCUGUUUUGUAUGUACCCCGAGAAUAAGGAUCGGCUAACUCCGUGCCAGCAGCCGCGGUAAUACGGAGGAUCCGAGCGUUAUCCGGAUUUAUUGGGUUUAAAGGGUGCGUAGGUGGUUUGAUAAGUCAGCGGUGAAAGUUUGCAGCUUAACUGUAAAAAUGCCGUUGAAACUGUCGGACUUGAGUGUAAAUGAGGUAGGCGGAAUGCGUGGUGUAGCGGUGAAAUGCAUAGAUAUCACGCAGAACUCCGAUUGCGAAGGCAGCUUACUAAGCUACAACUGACACUGAAGCACGAAAGCGUGGGGAUCAAACAGGAUUAGAUACCCUGGUAGUCC
rnacentral:rRNA from 1 species